rnacentral:rRNA from 1 species
GAUGAACGCUGGCGGCGUGCCUAAUACAUGCAAGUCGAGCGAACGGACGAGAAGCUUGCUUCUCUGAUGUUAGCGGCGGACGGGUGAGUAACACGUGGAUAACCUACCUAUAAGACUGGGAUAACUUCGGGAAACCGGAGCUAAUACCGGAUAAUAUUUUGAACCGCAUGGUUCGAAAGUGAAAGACGGUCUUGCUGUCACUUAUAGAUGGAUCCGCGCUGCAUUAGCUAGUUGGUAAGGUAACGGCUUACCAAGGCAACGAUGCAUAGCCGACCUGAGAGGGUGAUCGGCCACACUGGAACUGAGACACGGUCCAGACUCCUACGGGAGGCAGCAGUAGGGAAUCUUCCGCAAAGGGCGAAAGCCUGACGGAGCAACGCCGCGUGAGUGAUGAAGGUCUUCGGAUCGUAAAACUCUGUUAUUAGGGAAGAACAUAUGUGUAAGUAACUGUGCACAUCUUGACGGUACCUAAUCAGAAAGCCACGGCUAACUACGUG